rnacentral:rRNA from 1 species
UACGUAGGGUGCAAGCGUUAAUCGGAAUUACUGGGCGUAAAGCGUGCGCAGGCGGCUUUGCAAGUCAGAUGUGAAAUCCCCGGGCUUAACCUGGGAACUGCAUUUGUGACUGCAUGGCUGGAGUGCGGCAGAGGGGGAUGGAAUUCCGCGUGUAGCAGUGAAAUGCGUAGAUAUGCGGAGGAACACCGAUGGCGAAGGCAAGCCCCUGGGCCUGCACUGACGCUCAUGCACGAAAGCGUGGGGAGCAAACAGG